GUCCAAGUGGUGCAAUCGGCAGACACGCGGCGCUUAGAACGCCGAGCCUGGGAGUUCGAAUCUCCCCUUGGUCA
rnacentral:tRNA from 1 species